rnacentral:rRNA from 1 species
AGAUUGAACGCUGGCGGCAGGCCUAACACAUGCAAGUCGAGCGGUAGAGAGGUGCUUGCACCUCUUGAGAGCGGCGGACGGGUGAGUAAUGCCUAGGAAUCUGCCUAGUGGUGGGGGAUAACGUUCGGAAACGGACGCUAAUACCGCAUACGUCCUACGGGAGAAAGCGGGGGACCUUCGGGCCUCGCGCCAUUAGAUGAGCCUAGGUCGGAUUAGCUAGUUGGUGAGGUAAUGGCUCACCAAGGCGACGAUCCGUAACUGGUCUGAGAGGAUGAUCAGUCACACUGGAACUGAGACACGGUCCAGACUCCUACGGAGGCAGCAGUGGGGAAUAUUGGACAAUGGGCGAAAGCCUGAUCCAGCCAUGCCGCGUGUGUGAAGAAGGUCUUCGGAGUUAGUAAAGACGUACUUUAAGUUAGGGAGGUAAGGGUUGUAAACCUAAUAACGUUGCAACUUUGACGUUACCGAACAAGAAUAAGACACCGACCGUAACUUACGUGU